AUUAAUUCAAAUAUUUAUUUUAAACUUGUAUACGAGUGUGAGAGUUCGAAUUUCCCAAAAAAGUAAUUUUUAGUUUUACAGAAAUUAUCUAAAAUGACGGGUUUUGAUAAAUUAACAGAUGACUAACAACUUUCACAGUUAAUAUAUAUAAGCAUGAUUUAGAGAGUUUACGUAAUAUUUUCAAAUUUUCUAAUUUUACAGAAUUCAUCCAAAAUGACGUCGUUUUGAUAAAUUAACGGAUGACUAAUGCUUUUGACGGAUAAGCACGAUUGUGAGAGUUCAUAUUAUAUUAUUAUUUUUUAUUUUUUUUGCUUAGUUCAAUAUGGAAUAUGCAUUACUAUAAAAUUUGUGAAUGAAAAAAACACGACGCAUAAAGUUUAUGUAGUAUUUUUAAAUUUUUGGGUUUAGUUCAAUAUGACAUACGCACUCCUACGAAGUUCGAAAAAGAAUAAGCACAAUGCUUAAAUUUCAGGUUGAGAUAUACCCUUUUUUUUGGUCAUGAGGUUGAAAUAUACCAUUUUACCUUAUGUUGGGUGAAUGUUUUUGGAUGAGUAAUUUCAGAUAAUACGAAGGUCAAGUCGCAAUUUAUUAAAAUGUUAAACUUCUAAAAAUUGGGCUUUGAGGCCCAUUAGGAAACAUUAAACUUAAAUUACCCAAUUACACUUUUGAUAUAUAUAUUUGGGGUGGAUUUUGAAAUUUCGAUAUUGUAAAAAUUAAUUCGUAGUUUAAGUCACCAAGUUACCGUUAGAGCAAAUAAAAAAGAGAGAAAUAAUAGAAUUUAAUUCAUGUAACCGUUAGAGUAAAUUUAAAAAAAAAAAAAGAGAAAAUAAUAGAAUUUAAUUCAUGACCGUUGGAGACAAGACGAUCAAAUCUCCAGCCUCACCUAUAAAUAAAGACCUCCUAUCUUACAGAACCUUACACUUGUCUUCUUUAUAUAUUUUGAAUGUUUUUAAUAUACAUUAAAUCUAAAAAUAAUUAAUAUAUAUAAGUAUAUAAAUCUAGUUCGGAUAUAUUCGGGUACCCGAAAUACUUCGGUUCGGUUCUUUAAAUACCAAGAAAUUUUGAACCCAUUCGGAUAUUUAAUCAAUUUCGGUUCAGAUUCAAUACUAUUUUUUCGGAUUGAGUUCGGUUCGAUUCUUCGGAUCUGGGUUUUUUUGCCCGGACCUAGAUAUAUAUAUAUUUGGGGUGGAUUUUGAAAUCUCGAUAUUGUAAAAAAUAAUUCGUAGUUUAAGUCACCAAGUUACCGUUAGAGCAAAUAAAAAAGAGAGAAAUAAUAGAAUUUAAUUCAUGUUACCGUUAGAGUAAAUUAAAAAAAAAAAAGAGAAAAUAAUAGAAUUUAAUUCAUGACCGUUGGGGACAAGACGAUCAAAUCUCCAGCCUCGCCUAUAAAUAAAGACCUCCUCUCUUACAGAACCUUACACUUGUCUUCUUCCUCUCUUACAGAACCUUAUGUUUUUUUCUUUCUUAAAUAUAUUAUAUUUAUACUUUCCCUAAAUUAGGGGCUUCGGAAAACAGAGAUCAACAACGAAACUAAUCUAAGCUAGCCAAGAAGAAAAGGUUGAGAGGGUGAUACGACUAGGGGAACGAAGCCCCCUCCUCCGGUGAACACCGACAGCGUCGUAGUCGGACUCCGGGACUUCACAGGCGGAGGUGUCCAAGCCCAGCACAGAUCCGUCACCGUUAUCUUCAGUCCGCCAUCAUGCUGUUCACUGGUCCGAACCACCGCGAAUCUUCCCGUCCAUCAUCACGGUUUGAGAGGAGGGCGGCUCAGAUGAAGAAGAAACAAUGGAAACCAUACAAACUCUCCACCGUCGCCAACCCACCGCGAAUCUUCCCGUCCAGCAUCACGCUUGCUCUGAUCGUUCUUCACGCGGUUUAUCAGGUCUUCUCUUUUCUUAUUAUACAAACUUUGUUUUUCUUUCUGCCAAACAUGUUUCUCUGUUUUGAAUUGAAAUAUUUUUUUAAAAAAAACAUGUUUUUAGGGAAAUUUUGUAUAACUUGAUUGAUCAAUGGAGAGUUAAGUGUGAAUUUGUGACAACAUUUGAACAGAACACCCAGUCUUUGUAUCGUUAGAUGUUGUAAAUGUUUAUUUGGUUUAACACUUAUGAUCACUAAAUUCUUCUAAUCAAUCUAGAAACUAUAAAAUUUUCUUUUUUAAAAAUACGUUUUCAAGGUUUUGGGGAAAUUUUUUAUAGAGCUUCAUUGAUCAUGGAAAGUUAGUGUAAAUUUGUGAAAUAAAUAGAGCGGGCUAUCCUAUCACUAUAUAUGAUGGUUAGAGGUAUUAUCCUUUCUCCAGUCAUUGUGUUUGUAAGCUGGUAGUAUCCCUUUAUUUGGUUUAACACUUAUGAUCACUAAUUUUUUCAUAAUUGAUUAAAGUUAUUAUAAAAAGUUUCCCUUGUUUUCAGUUCUUUCUUUGAUUUCUUUCUUUUAUAUUUUGUUGCCUUUUGUUUGUUCCAUAUGAUCGACUUGUCGUUUUGUUGUUUCAGGAUUCCGGUGGAUGCUUGCUUUGAUUGAUGAUGAUGGCUGUUUUGGUGUUUGGUCCUUCUCUGUUGGCGGUUUGUCAGUUCAGCAUAGCCUAAUUGACUUAGAAAAAGAAGCUGUAAUUGGAACUUGAAGAAAGGUAUAGGAGGAGAGAGGUCCAUUGAAGAUUAAAACCAAGCAAGUGUUGAAAGCUUCUGGUGGCAAGAGAAGGUUUCAAGCUGAGUUGUUUGUUAUCAUCAUCUUCUUGAGCGAUUGGGAAAACAGAGAGAGAGAGAUUAGAGAGUAUAGAGGAACUGAUUGAGUUGUAAUUUGUGGUGAGGGAAAUGUCUUUUGUACAAGUUGUAACCUUGCACAUUUCCACACCAGAAACGUUAUGAGUUGUUUCUGGAGUGUUGAAGCCUAAGGGAGUGAGGUUUCACCUGAAAUGGAUAUAACUCAUUCAUGUAUUGUCACCAUUGUUUUUGAUGAUAAUGAUUUUUCAAAAGUCUCA